CCGGUAAGUAUGCAGUGAGGACAAAGCCACCCACCCACCAAGAGUCAGUCUCUCCCGGCCCUCCCGCCCUCCCUCCCCUCGUGCGCGACAGCGACCUCGCAACCCCCGGCUCCAUCGGGCGAGGGAAUGGAGGAGGAGGGCGCGAAGAAGGCGGUGCUCUUCAGGCUGUUCGGCGUCGAGGUCCGCGGCGCCGAGGAGGAGGAUGACGCGGAGCCCAUGGAGCUCAAGAAGAGCACCAGCAUGCCCAACCUCGCCUGCGCCUCCACCGACCCGAUUCUCCUGCCCGGCGAGGCCAGCAACGACAAGGGCUACGCCUCCGACGACGGCGAGCUGGCGUCCACUCCGCAGCUCAAGCGCCGCCGCCGCAAGGCCCAGGAGCGGAAGAAAGGGAUUCCGUGGACCGAGGAGGAGCACAGGAAGUUCCUGGAGGGUCUGAAGCAGCUGGGCAAGGGGGACUGGAGAGGCAUCUCCAAGAACUUCGUCACCACCAGGACGGCCACGCAGGUGGCAAGCCACGCCCAGAAGUACUUCCUCCGGCAGACCAACCCCGGCAAGAAGAAGCGCCGGGCCAGCCUCUUCGACGUCGGCAUCCCCGCUGGUCACAGCUACGACGAUCAGCUGCCAAGUCCUCAGAGUGUUGGAACCAAGCUUGCUCCUGCUGAGAAGAUACUCCACACCGACCGCGGCGACGUGCCGCUACCAAGUUAUCCAGGAGACAUCAGGGGCAACAACAACAACAACCACAACAACAUGCAGAUGCAGGCUGAUGAGCUAACUGACCAUGUGAAGAAGAGAUCAAAGUUCCACAGCGGGACGUCGCUGGCCGCCAUGGCUGCCUCCGGGCUGGAGCUGGCGAUGUCUUCGUCUGCCAGCAGCAUCCUGGAGCUCAGCAUCGCGCCCCCUCGCUGCUACGGCGCGGUCGAUGCCAUCAAGGUGCUGUGAUCGGUCCCCGGCUGCCGGGCCUGGCCUGGCCGAAGGGUUUGAUCUGGGCCACCACCAGCUUAGCUUCAUGUGGUGUCCCUGUUCUUGUUGCCGUGCUAACCUUCUUGCCCGUCGAUUCGCGUAGUAGCUUUUUCAGCUAGUGUAAGGAGUAAAAUACAUAAGAAUUGCUUGCUUUGGUACAAGUUGGUGAAGGGAAACCAGAGAGGAUAUGUAGUAGAUUUGUUUGUAAUGUAUGGUUACCAAAUUAAUUAAUGUUAUCGGUGCCUUCAUGGAGAUAUCACCAAG
rnacentral:rRNA from 1 species